AGUAACACGUGAGUAACCUGCCCUUCACUCUGGGAUAACGUCGGGAAACCGGUGCUAAUACUGGAUAUGACCCAUACAGGCAUCUGUUGUGGGUGGAAAGAUUUAUUGGUGGGGGAUGGACUCGCGGCCUAUCAGCUUGUUGGUGAGGUAAUGGCUUACCAAGGCGACGACGGGUAGCCGGCCUGAGAGGGCGAUCGGCCACACUGGGACUGAGACACGGCCCACG
rnacentral:rRNA from 1 species